AGAUGGAAAAACAAAAGAAGAAAGAGAAGGCAAUGGCGAAGAAGAUGUUCGGAUGAUUGGAUUUUCUUUGCGCUUACAACUUCUUACUUUCGAUUAUAAAAUUUAUUCUUAAGACAGUUUAUUAUCCAUAUU
rnacentral:ribozyme from 12 species